rnacentral:rRNA from 1 species
CGAAUUGCGAUAUGUAAUGUGAAUUGCAGAAUUCAGUGAAUCAUCGAGUCUUUGAACGCACAUUGCA